AGGCUCCUGAUUCGCGAGAUUUUUGCCAAGCUACUGAGGUGAUGCCGACUUUCUCCUAUCCAACUCAUCCCCAAUGCUUGGUAGAUGAUAGUUAGGGUUUUCUAUUUUCUUUUGCAUUAGGGUUGCCUCUCCAAGCAGAGAUAUUCAAGACACUUUUCCAAGUGAAGACACAUCCCCAGAGUAGAAGCUGGUGGUACACUUCUCUCUGGAAGGGUGUCACCAACUUCCAUUUUAGCCCUUCCUCCAUUCAUGAGUGGAAGGGCCAAAUUUUCUUUGCAUCCUUCCCAACUUCAUGGGGAUUCCUAACUGAAUGGGGAGCACC
rnacentral:lncRNA from 1 species